rnacentral:rRNA from 1 species
AGUGAACGCUGGCGGUAGGCCUAACACAUACAAGUCGAACGGCAGCACAGUAAGCUCUUUCUCUUACGGGUGGCGACUGGCGGACGGGUGAGGAAUACAUCAGAAUCUACUAUUUCGUGGGGGAUAACGUAGGGAAACUUACGCUAAUACCGCAUACGAUCUACGGGUGAAAGCAGUGGAUCUUCGGACCUUGCGCGAUUGUAUUAGCUGAUGUCGGAUUAGCUAGUUGGCGGGGUAAAGGCUCACCAAGGCGACGAUCCGUAGCUGGUCUGAGAGGAUGAUCAGCCACACUGGAACUGAGACACGGUCCAGACUCCUACGGGAGGCAGCAGUGGGGAAUAUUGGGCAAAGGGCGAAAGCCUGAUCCAGCCAUACCGCGUGGGUGAAGAAGGCCUUCGGGUUGUAAAGCCCUGUUGUUGGGAAAGAAAAGCUGCGGGUUAAUACACGGCUGUUCUGACGGUACCCAAAGAAUAAGCACCGGCUAACUUCGUG